rnacentral:lncRNA from 1 species
CUUCAUGGUCAUCUCUUAGUAUUUUAUUCUGUUUCUGCCUUUACUAAUGCUCUCUGGCACUUGAUCUGGAAACUCUCUUUUCCAUUAACUUCCCAAACCCUGCUCCCGUGGUUAUCCCUCUCCCCAUCCAACCCCUCUUUCUCUGCCAACCCUCAGCGUGACUUCGGCCCUCGUCCUCUUCGCUUCCCACUUGACAUGCUCCCCUGUGGACCAUUCUACCCUUUGGCCAGAGUUGCCUCAGUAUGUAUCUCCAGACUUCACUUCCCUGAACCCCAUACCUUAAUCCAGUUUGCCUCCCAGACAGCUUGUCCCAGAUAUCUUGUAGGUCCUUCUGUCUAAAGCUUGGUUCCUUAUCCUGCCCACUUUCCCCACCCUCUCUGCUCUUUAGCAAGCCCCUGUUCACCUGGGCAAGAAAGCUGGAAACCCCACUGUGGGCAUUCGCCCUCUGACCACCUGCCUGCCUCUGCUUCUAUCUCUGAAAUGUCCCUUGGAUGUGUUUCUUUUGAAAAAGUCCUAUGGUGCCCCAUGAGUCUGACCUUCUUCUCCCACUUUCUUGCCACAGCUUCUAUAAUAUCAGCCGCUCUGAGCCAUUGCAGAAGUGCAGGCAUGUUCUGAUUUUUCAAGCGAAGAUAAAAGUCCAUAUUUUAAUGUAAACUUUCCCAGUCUUUAAAAUGUUUGUCACUAAUUUAAAAGAUUUUAUAAGACCACGUGCACCUUUGUAGGCUACUAGUUUGUGAUUUUUUUUUUUUUUAAACAUAAGAUAAAAAUAUUGUAAGAAAAUGAUAAGUGAUUUUAUUUUCGUUGGGCAUGGGAAAGCGCUUUAUGUCAGAAUGUCAAAACAAAACAUGUUUGACUAAAUAAAAGGGGGAAAAUACUUUGGCAAAAUAAAAAUUACUAUAAACGCUAUAAACAAAGUUAAAGUAUAAGAUGAUAAUAUGGGAAGAAAACAUUUUCAGGUAAAAGGUUAAUGUACUUAUUAUAAAACCAUGCUUAUAAAUCAAUGAGAAAAACCAAACUUAAAAAAAACUCCGCACCCUGAGAAAUGAGCAAAGGACAUGUAGAAAUGCAAGUGCAUUGUAGGCAUCUGAAAUAAAGCUUGUCCAUAUUUGCAACCAAUGAAAUAGAAAUAAAAAAGGCAUGAGCAAUAAGUGUUAGCCUGUUAGGUAGGAAAAGGCUGAUAUUGCCGUGUGUUGAAAUAGAAAUAAAAAAUAGAAAUAAAAAAGGCAUGAGCAAUAAGUGUUAGCCUGUUAGGUAGGUAAAGGCUGAUAUUGCCGAGUGUUGAAAUAGAAAUAAAAAACAGAAAUAAAAAAGGCAUGAGCAAUAAGUGUUAGCCUGUUAGGUAGGUAAAGGCUGAUAUUGCCGAGUGUUGUGAAUAUGGGGAAACGGACAUGCUGUUAUACUCUUGGUGGAAAUGUGAAUUAGGAAUUUUCUCCUAGAAUAUUGCACCCAAGAGUUUCAGCAAGAUCCUGGCAAAUUCGGAAAAGAGAAAACAGAUUAAUCAUAAGAAAAAUCAUAGUUCCAGGAGAAUAAUGAAAAGGGCCUUAAAGGCAGGAAUUAAAGUGAAAAAUACUGAUAACUGCAAACUCAGUGAAGGAUAAAUUCUCUGGUUUAAGGAAUCUCACUGCCUAGGCUGGAAGCUACAACUCCGAUUUGACCCCUAGCCUGGGAACUUCCACAUGCCUUGGACGCAGCCUAAAAAACAAAACAAGCAAAAAUCUCAGCAGAUCCAGCAGGAUAAAUUUUUCAAAAGAUCCUAAAUACACUGUAGCAAAUUCCAAAAACACCAAAGACUUAAAAGAGAUGUUUAAAGCUGCCAGAAGGAAAAGACAGAUCCUCUUUUUAAAAAACCAAUUAGCAACAAAGAUAGAAUCCAAAA